UGAGUAACACGUAUCCAACCUGCCGUCUACUCUUGGACAGCCUUCUGAAAGGAAGAUUAAUACAAGAUGGCAUCAUGAGUCCGCAUGUUCACAUGAUUAAAGGUAUUCCGGUAGACGAUGGGGAUGCGUUCCAUUAGAUAGUAGGCGGGGUAACGGCCCACCAAGACUACGAUGGAUAGGGGUUCUGAGAGGAAGGUCCCCCACAUUGGAACUGAGACACGGUCCAA
rnacentral:rRNA from 1 species